GGGAAGCUUCCGGAUGCUGGUUUGCAACGUUCUUGAAGAGUUAAAGGUAACUGACCUUUAAAGGCCGACUAACCUGUGAGAUCCAUCUCUCAUGGAUAUGUAGAUGUGCAAUGGCAGGGAAAGGCCAAUCUAUGGAUGUAAACCAAAGUCGGUGUCUGGUGAGGCUGUGGUACAGAACUUCAGCCUGUGCAUCACGGCUCAGCUAACCGGCUCUCUGCUGUUUCCUGUCAAUAAGCAUCCAAACUGAAAGAACUCAUUCCCCAUGUGGGCCUGAGUUCCACAAUGAAGUGGAACCAGACGUCCAAGAAUUGGAGACGAAUUGGAGAUGAUGAAGAUCGAGACGAUGACGACGAUGAUGUUGAUGAAGAUGGAAAUGGUACUUUGGGACACCUUGCAGAGUGGUUUAUGAAUCCCUGCUGUCACAGACUAACAUGUGGAGAACCAUG
ensembl:lncRNA